GAUGAACGCUGGCGGCGUGCCUAAUACAUGCAAGUCGAGCGAAUGGAUUAAGAGCUUGCUCUUAUGAAGUUAGCGGCGGACGGGUGAGUAACACGUGGGUAACCUGCCCAUAAGACUGGGAUAACUGCGGGAAACUGUAGCUAAUACCGGAUACGACCCUCGGCGGCAUCGCCAGGGGGUGGAAAGAAUUUCGGUCAAGGAUGGACUCGCGGCCUAUCAGCUAGUUGGUGAGGUAACGGCUCACCAAGGCGACGACGGGUAGCCGGCCUGAGAGGGUGACCGGCCACACUGGGACUGAGACACGGCCCAGACUCCUACGGGAGGCAGCAGUGGGGAAUAUUGCACAAUGGGCGCAAGCCUGAUGCAGCAACGCCGCGUGAGUGAUGAAGGCCUUAGGGUUGUAAAGCUCUUUCGUCCGGGACGAUAAUGACGGUACCGGAAGAAGAAGCCCCGGCUAACUUCGUGCCAGCCGCCGCCGUAA
rnacentral:rRNA from 1 species